UACGGAGGAUCCGAGCGUUAUCCGGAUUUAUUGGGUUUAAAGGGUGCGUAGGCGGGCUGUUAAGUCAGCGGUAAAAGCCCGGGGCUCAACCCCGGCGAGCCGUUGAAACUGGGGAUCUAGAGUGUGCGAGAGGUAUGCGGAAUGCGUGGUGUAGCGGUGAAAUGCAUAGAUAUCACGCAGAACUCCGAUUGCGAAGGCAGCAUACCGGCGCGCAACUGACGCUCACGCACGAAAGCGUGGGUAUCGAACAGG
rnacentral:rRNA from 1 species